UGGGAUUGUGGGAUCCUAAUACAUGCAAGUCGAGCGAACUGAUUAGAAGCUUGCUUCUAUGACGUUAGCGGCGGACGGGUGAGUAACACGUGGGCAACCUGCCUGUAAGACUGGGAUAACUUCGGGAAACCGAAGCUAAUACCGGAUAGGAUCUUCUCCUUCAUGGGAGAUGAUUGAAAGAUGGUUUCGGCUAUCACUUACAGAUGGGCCCGCGGUGCAUUAGCUAGUUGGUGAGGUAACGGCUCACCAAGGCAACGAUGCAUAGCCGACCUGAGAGGGUGAUCGGCCACACUGGGACUGAGACACGGCCCAGACUCCUACGGGAGGCAGCAGUAGGGAAUCUUCCGCAAUGGACGAAAGUCUGACGGAGCAACGCCGCGUGAGUGAUGAAGGCUUUCGGGUCGUAAAACUCUGUUGUUAGGGAAGAACAAGUACGAGAGUAACUGCUCGUACCUUGACGGUACCUAACCAGAAAGCCACGGCUAACUACGUGCCAGCAGCCGCGGUAAUACGUAGGUGGCAAGCGUUAUCCGGAAUUAUUGGGCGUAAAGCGCGCGCAGGCGGUUUCUUAAGUCUGAUGUGAAAGCCCACGGCUCAACCGUGGAGGGUCAUUGGAAACUGGGGAACUUGAGUGCAGAAGAGAAAAGCGGAAUUCCACGUGUAGCGGUGAAAUGCGUAGAGAUGUGGAGGAACACCAGUGGCGAAGGCGGCUUUUUGGUCUGUAACUGACGCUGAGGCG
rnacentral:rRNA from 2 species